rnacentral:rRNA from 1 species
GAUGAACGCUGGCGGCGUGCUUGAUACAUGCAAGUCGAACGGAGAGUGUAGCAAUAUACUUUUAGUGGCGAACGGGUGAGUAACGCGUUGGUGACCUGCCCCGAAGCGAGGGAUAACAGUUCGAAAGAACUGCUAAUACCUCAUGUGAUCACCGGUUUUAGAAUCUGGUGAUUAAAGGUGAAAAUCACUUCGGGAGGGGCCUGCGUCCCAUCAGCUAGUUGGUAGGGUAAUGGCUUACCAAGGCGAUGACGGGUAGGGGACCUGAGAGGGUGGCCCCCCACAAUGGAACUGAAACACGGUCCAUACACCUACGGGUGGCAGCAGUAGGGAAUAUUGCAAAUGGGCGAAAGCCUGAUGUAGCAACGCCGCGUGUGCGAUGAAGGUCUUCGGAUUGUAAAGCACUUUUGGAGGGAUGAGGAAGGACAGUACCUCCAGAAUAAGCCUCGGCUAACUACGUG